CAUGCAAGUCGAGGGGCAGCAUGAGGUAGCAAUACCUUGAUGGCGACCGGCGCACGGGUGAGUAACGCGUAUGCAACUUACCUAUCAGAGGGGGAUAGCCCGGCGAAAGUCGGAUUAAUACCCCAUAAAACAGGGGUCCCGCAUGGGAAUAUUUGUUAAAGAUUCAUCGCUGAUAGAUAGGCAUGCGUUCCAUUAGGCAGUUGGCGGGGUAACGGCCCACCAAACCGACGAUGGAUAGGGGUUCUGAGAGGAAGGUCCCCCACAUUGGUACUGAGACACGGACCAAACUCCUACGGGAGGCAGCAGUGAGGAAUAUUGGUCAAUGGCCGAGAGGCUGAACCAGCCAAGUCGCGUGAAGGAAGAAGGAUCUAUGGUUUGUAAACUUCUUUUAUAGGGGAAUAAAGUGGAGGACGUGUCCUUUUUUGUAUGUACCCUAUGAAUAAGCAUCGGCUAACUCCGUGCCAGCAGCCGCGGUAAUACGGAGGAUGCGAGCGUUAUCCGGAUUUAUUGGGUUUAAAGGGUGCGUAGGUGGUGAUUUAAGUCAGCGGUGAAAGUUUGUGGCUCAACCAUAAAAUUGCCGUUGAAACUGGGUUACUUGAGUGUGUUUGAGGUAGGCGGAAUGCGUGGUGUAGCGGUGAAAUGCAUAGAUAUCACGCAGAACUCCGAUUGCGAAGGCAGCUUACUAAACCAUAACUGACACUGAAGCACGAAAGCGUGGGGAUCAAACAGGAUUAGAUACCCUGGUAGUCCACGCAGUAAACGAUGAUUACUAGGAGUUU
rnacentral:rRNA from 1 species